CCUCCUCGGUCCUCUGAGGCUCUGUAUAAAAUGCUUGAGGAAGAAGAAUUCUCUAAGGUCUUUUAGGGAGAAGAAAACAUUGGUCUAAUUUGCUAAGUAAGGGUGGACCAAGGCUAAACCAAAUCAAAUGUAUACAUGAAAUCCAAUUGCUAAAGUGAUGCUUAGCGUUUAAAGAGGACAAACUUGCAUAUAGAUCUGAGAAGCAGUCUUGAGGUUUGAGGAUGCCAGUGUGUGUAUCAGGCUGCAUUUCUCAGAGUAAUCUUAUUUUUUCAUGUGAACGACCCACCUCAUGUCAAGCUUAACUUCCAACAUCUACAAUGUGAAGGUAUCUCACUUUCUAAUGCAACACAUAGUAUUGAAGACAUUUUAUUAGAAGACCAUUCUCUACCUUGCCCCUUACUGCAUCCUAUUCCAAGUUUUAAAUUCUGAACGAUGCAAUUCUGACUGCCCUACAAGACACGGAAUCUACAGGGUUAAGAACAAAGCUGAAAGAAGAAACCAUGGAAAUAAAAAGCUAUGGUGAAGACCAGACACCAGCUUUAAAGCCUGCUGCUUACCCAGGGGAUUCUAAGUCUUCUCAGAGCGCAUUUGUGCUUCUUAAUUUUUACAUAAAAGAGUGAAUAGUUUAUUAUCAAUAUAAACAGAGCAGUGUGCUAACUCACCUUUCGUAAGAUUUUAUAGUCUGCAGUGCCCUUUCAGAAUAGUUUUAUUGAGCCAUAAUUCACAUAUCGUAAAAUUCACCCCUUUAAAGUGUUAUUUGUAUUUGUUUUAUAACCCACUCUACAAACCUUGGCUCCUACAGUAGGUGACAAAAGGCAAGUUAAAGGGGUUUGGAGAGAACAGAAGACAGGUGGGUAGGUAGGGACAAAAUGACACUCGCAGUAAGUGGAGAGACAAAACCAAGCAGGGAGGUAUAGAGAGCAAGCAGAAAACUGUUCGUUAUAUAGAAGCUUUUGGUUUGCUGGAAACCCUUCUCUUAAGAUGCUUCAAAACACCUCAGGAAGAUGACCAUGUACAACCCAGUACAAUAGCUUUCAUGGUGAUGCCCUUGAGUUUCAGGGAAAGACUGUGGUGAUCAGUGCUCUCCUGUUUAAAAGGCAGGGAUACCUGCGAUUGAUCCAUUAACACAUGCUCUGUGCAGUGACAGCAGCAGCUUAAAGGAAGUUCUAGGUGCUUUAAGGAGUAUGUCUUCAACACCAUCCACAGUGAGUCAGUCCAGGGGGACUCCAGAUCACUGAUGUUUUAUGGGGUGGGCUGUGUGAUGUGACCCCAGGGACAGGAUAUACACUUGACUCUGGCGCGAGUGAAGGUGUCCAGGCUUCUGGACUGCAUCUUUCUCUUAUGAACAGUGCCCACGUCUUAUAUUUUUAGACCUGGCUAUCUCUUCCAACCAUAAAACCUGAAUCCUUUUGGAUGGCAAUCAGAGCAGUUCUGCCUCUGGGAUGCAAAACAAACACUGGAAGAAAUUUCUGUCACAUUUUCUCUUGGGGAGGGGGGCAGCAAAACCCAACAAAACAACAACAACAAAAAAACCCCUCUGAACUCAUUUGUUCCUCUGACUUCCAUUUGUGACAACAAAUGUAUAAACAAAAGGACUUGUCAGGAUGCCACUGUGGGUUUGGUUGGAUACAAUAUUUUCUUUUCUUUUCUUCCUUUCUUUUUUCCUUCCUUUCUUUUGUUCUCCUCCUCCUCCUCCUCCUCCUCCUCCUCCU
rnacentral:lncRNA from 1 species